CCUACGGGUGGCAGCAGUGGGGAAUAUUGCACAAUGGGGGAAACCCUGAUGCAGCGACGCCGCGUGAAGGAAGAAGUAUUUCGGUAUGUAAAGCUCUAUCAGCAGGGAAGAAAAUGACGGUACCUGAGUAAGAAGCCCCGGCUAACUACGUGCCAGCAGCCGCGGUAAUACGUAGGGGGCCAGCGUUAUCCGGAUUUACUGGGUGUAAAGGGGGCGUAGACGGCAGUGCAAGUCUGGAGGGAAAGGCGGGGGCUCAACCCCCGGACUGCCCUGGAAACUGUACGGCUGGAGUGCAGGAGAGGUAAGUGGAAUGCCUAGUGUAGCGGUGAAAUGCGUAGAUAUUAGGAGGAACACCAGUGGCGAAGGCGGCUUACUGGACUGUAACUGACGUUGAGGCUCGAAAGCGUGGGGAGCAAACAGGAUUAGAUACCCUAGUAGUC
rnacentral:rRNA from 1 species